GAUGAACGCUAGCGGCAGGCCUAAUACAUGCAAGUUGAGGGAGAAGUUAAAGCUUGCUUUAACGGAAACCGGCGCACGGGUGCGUAACGCGUAUGCAACCUACCUAUUACUGGGGAAUAGCCCGGGGAAACUCGGAUUAAUACCCCAUAGUACCACAUGAUGGCAUCUGAAAGUGGUUAAAGCUCCGGCGGUAAUAGAUGGGCAUGCGUAAGAUUAGAUUGUUGGUGAGGUAACGGCUCACCAAGUCUACGAUCUUUAGGGGGUCUGAGAGGAUGAUCCCCCACACUGGUACUGAGAUACGGACCAGACUCCUACGGGAGGCAGCAGUAGGGAAUAUUGGACAAUGGGCGAAAGCCUGAUCCAGCCAUGCCGCGUGCAGGAUGACGGCCUUCUGGGUUGUAAACUGCUUUUCUAUAAGAAGAAAAAGGUCUUGCGAGACCAAUUGACGGUACUAUAGGAAUAAGCACCGGCUAACUCCG
rnacentral:rRNA from 1 species